GCCUGGCUAGCUCAGUCAGUAGAGCAUGAGACUCUUAAUCUCAGGUCAUGAGUUCGAGCCCCACGCUGGGCA